GCUUCGCUCGUGUGCAGUGGAAAUCCUCCCUGGCCGGGGUUCGGCCGGGGAGAUUGUAACGGAUAGCAGGUUUUGGC
rnacentral:sRNA from 1 species